rnacentral:rRNA from 1 species
GAUGAACGCUGGCGGCGUGCUUAACACAUGCAAGUCGAACGAUGAAGCCCAGCUUGCUGGGUGGAUUAGUGGCGAACGGGUGAGUAACACGUGAGUAACCUGCCCUUAACUCUGGGAUAAGCCUGGGAAACUGGGUCUAAUACCGGAUAGGAGCGUCCACCGCAUGGUGGGUGUUGGAAAGAUUUAUCGGUUUUGGAUGGACUCGCGGCCUAUCAGCUUGUUGGUGAGGUAAUGGCUCACCAAGGCGACGACGGGUAGCCGGCCUGAGAGGGUGACCGGCCACACUGGGACUGAGACACGGCCCAGACUCCUACGGGAGGCAGCAGAGGGGAAUAUUGCACAAUGGGCGAAAGCCUGAUGCAGCGACGCCGCGUGAGGGAUGACGGCCUUCGGGUUGUAAACCUCUUUCAGUAGGGAAGAAGCGAAAGUGACGGUACCUGCAGAAGAAGCACCGGCUAACUACGUG